rnacentral:rRNA from 1 species
UACAGAGGUCUCAAGCGUUUGUUCGGAUUCAUUGGGCGUAAAGGGUGCGUAGGUGGCGCCGUAAGUCGGGUGUGAAAUCCUGGAGCUCAACUCCAGAACUGCCUUUGAUACUGAAGAUCUUGAGUUCGGGAGAGGUGAGUGGAACUGCGAGUGUAGAGGUGAAAUGCGCAGAUAUCAGGAGGAACACCAAUGGCGAAGGCAGCUCGCUGGAACGGUACUGGACG